rnacentral:rRNA from 1 species
ACGUAGGACGCAAGCGUUAUCCGGAGUUACUGGGCGUAAAGCGCGGGCAGGCGGCUCGAUGCGUCUGAUGUGAAAUCUCCUCGCUCAACGGGGAGAGGCCAUUGGAAACGGUCGAGCUGGAGGGCAGUAGAGGCAGGCGGAAUUCCGGGUGGAGUGGUGAAAUGCGUAGAGAUCCGGAGGAACACCAGAGGCGAAGGCGGCGUCCUGGCCCACAUCUGACGCUCAUACACGACAGCAUGGGGAGCGAACGGGA